rnacentral:sRNA from 1 species
UAACCCGUCAUUGGGGAGUAGCCAGCCGCGCGUGCGCGGACCCUGCGUCAACACACUUGGUCGAGAGGCCAUGGCGUAGGGAGGGUGGCAGGAUCGCAACGAUCCGGCAUCUUGGGCGAGACCAAUGGCAUGGUGCCUUCUGCCGGCCGGGCGGGGGGUGCGAUGCCAUUGCCUGUCUCUGUCGCCCGGCCCU